AUGGCUCAGAUUGAACGCUAGCGGGAUGCCUUACACAUGCAAGUCGAACGGCAGCACGGACUUCGGUCUGGUGGCGAGUGGCGAACGGGUGAGUAAUGUAUCGGAACGUGCCUAGUAGCGGGGGAUAACUACGCGAAAGCGUAGCUAAUACCGCAUACGCCCUACGGGGGAAAGCAGGGGAUCGCAAGACCUUGCACUAUUAGAGCGGCCGAUAUCGGAUUAGCUAGUUGGUGGGGUAACGGCUCACCAAGGCGACGAUCCGUAGCUGGUUUGAGAGGACGACCAGCCACACUGGGACUGAGACACGGCCCAGACUCCUACGGGAGGCAGCAGUGGGGAAUUUUGGACAAUGGGGGAAACCCUGAUCCAGCCAUCCCGCGUGUGCGAUGAAGGCCUUCGGGUUGUAAAGCACUUUUGGCAGGAAAGAAACGUCAUGGGUUAAUACCCCGUGAAACUGACG
rnacentral:rRNA from 1 species